AUAAAUAAAGGGAUUAGAACUAGUAAACUUUAGACUUCUGUAGAGAGCUUAUGGUCGGUGCAAAUAAGUGAAGUUAUCCGUUGAACUCAUCUAAUAAAACCUGGUGCUGCCAAGCCUUGCUAACAGCACUCGUCUGACCGCGUUAAGGCAUAGAGGUGCGCUUGGCGCACAAAAAUAGGUGGUACCGCGUUUUCAACGUCCUAUAU
rnacentral:ncRNA from 1 species